rnacentral:rRNA from 1 species
AUUGAACGCUGGCGGCAGGCCUAACACAUGCAAGUAGAACGAGUGGCGGACGGGUGAGUAAUGUCUGGGAAAAUGCCUGAUGGAGGGGGAUAACUACUGGAAACGGUAGCUAAUACCGCAUACCAUACGAUGUUCCCAGAUGGGUUUAGCUUGUUGGUGGGGGAACGGCUUACCAAGGCGACGAUCCCUAGCUGGUCUUAGAGGAUGACCAGCCACACUGUAACUGAGACACGGUCCAGACUCCUACGGGAGGAAUCAGUGGGGAAUAGUGCACAAUGGGCGCAAGCCUGAUGCAGCCAGGCCGCGUGUAUGAAGAAGGCCGUCGGGUUGUAAAGUACUUUCAGCAGGGAGGCGUUACCCGCAGAAGAAGCACCGGCUAACUCCGUGCCAGCAGCCGCGGUAA